rnacentral:rRNA from 1 species
CGUGCCUACGGGAGGCAGCAGUAGGGAAUCUUCCACAAUGGACGAAAGUCUGAUGGAGCAACGCCGCGUGAAUGAAGAAGGGUUUCGGCUCGUAAAGCUCUGUUGGUAGUGAAGAAAGAUAGAGGUAGUAACUGGCCUUUAUUUGACGGUAAUUACUUAGAAAGUCACGGCUAACUACGUGCCAGCAGCCGCGGUAAUACGUAGGUGGCAAGCGUUGUCCGGAUUUAUUGGGCGUAAAGCGAGUGCAGGCGGUUCAAUAAGUCUGAUGUGAAAAGCUUUGGCCCAAACGGAGAAUUG